rnacentral:rRNA from 1 species
GACGAACGCUGGCGGCGUGCUUAGCACAUGCAAGUCGAACGAUGAACCCGGAGCUUGCUCCGGUGGAUUAGUGUCGAACGGGUGAGUAACACGUGAGUAACCUGCCCUUGACUCUGGGAUAACUGCGGGAAACUGUAGCUAAUACCGGAUACGACCCUCGGCGGCAUCGCCAGGGGGUGGAAAGAAUUUCGGUCAAGGAUGGACUAGCGGCCUAUCAGCUAGUAGGGGAGGUAACGGCCCACCAAGGCGACGACGGGCAGCCGGCCUGGGAGGGUGACCGGCCACACUGGGACUGAGACAGGGACCAGACUCCUACGGGAGGCAGCAGUGGGGAAUAGUGGACGAUGGGCGCAAGCCUGAUGCAGCAACGCCGCGUGAGGGAUGACGGCCUUCGGGUUGUAAACCUCUUUUAGUAGGGAAGAAGCGAAAGUGACGGUACCUGCGGAAAAAGCACCGGCUAACUACGUGCCAGCCGCCGCCGUAA